CACGCGAUUGGGUUGGCCGAUGUCCGAUUAGCUAGUUGGCGGGGUAAAGGCCCACCAAGGCGAUGAUCGGUAGCUGGUCUGAGAGGAUGAUCAGCCACACUGGGACUGAGACACGGCCCAGACUCCUACGGGAGGCAGCAGUGGGGAAUUUUGGACAAUGGGGGCAACCCUGAUCCAGCCAUUCCGCGUGAGUGAAGAAGGCCUUCGGGUUGUAAAGCUCUUUUGUCCGGAGCGAAACGGGUAGCGUGAACAGCGCUGCCUACUGACGGUACCGGAAGAAUAAGCACCGGCUAACUACGUGCCAGCAGCCGCGGUAAUACGUAGGGUGCGAGCGUUAAUCGGAAUUACUGGGCGUAAAGCGUGCGCAGGCGGUUUUGUAAGCCAGAUGUGAAAUCCCCGGGCUUAACCUGGGAAUGGCAUUUGGGACUGCAAGGCUCGAGUGCGGCAGAGGAGACUGGAAUUCCCGGUGUAGCAGUGAAAUGCGUAGAUAUCGGGAGGAAUACCGAUGGCGAAGGCAGGUCUCUGGGCUGACACUGACGCUCAUGCACGAAAGCGUGGGGAGCAAACAGGAUUAGAU
rnacentral:rRNA from 1 species